UUACUUUGGCAGCACAUAUACUAAAAUUGGAAAAAAUACAGAGAAGAUUAGCAUGGCCCCAGUGAAAGGAUGACACCCAAAUUCAUGAAAGAUUCUGUAAUUUU